rnacentral:rRNA from 1 species
GAUGAACGCUGGCGGCGUGCCUAAUACAUGCAAGUCGAGCGAAUGGAUUAAGAGCUUGCUCUUAUGAAGUUAGCGGCGGACGGGUGAGUAACACGUGGGUAACCUGCCCAUAAGACUAGGAUAACUCCGGGAAACCGGGGCUAAUACCGGAUAACAUUUUGGACCGCAUGGUUCGAAAUUGAAAGGCGGCUUCGGCUGUCACUUAUGGAUGGACCCGCGUCGCAUUAGCUAGUUGGUGAGAUAACGGCUCACCAAGGCAACGAUGCGUAGCCGACCGGAGAGGGUGAUCGGCCACACUGGGACUGAGACACGGCCCAGACUCCUACGGGAGGCAGCAGUAGGGAAUCUUCCGCAAUGGACGAAGGUCUGACGGAGCAACGCCGCGUGAGUGAUGAAGGCUUUCGGGUCGUAAAACUCUGUUGUUAGGGAAGAACAAGUGCUAGUUGAAUAAGCUAGCACCUUGACGGUACCUAACCAGAAAGCCACGGCUAACUACGUGCCAGCAGCCGCCGUAA